rnacentral:lncRNA from 1 species
GCAAUGGCACUGAUAAAAGCAUCUUACUCUGGGCGAAUCAAACGAGGAACAAUUGAUUUUAGUCAUCCAACCAGGACCAUGGCACACACUUUACAGAGAGUGGUGCAAAGGCUAAUCGGUCUGAAGUGCCUUGAGACUGACGCAUUAGGUCUCUUCAAAAUGAGGGUGAUCAGUAUCUUCUCCACUCCUCCAGAAUACCUCUGGACAUAAAAACCACAUGUAUUGCCUCAACCACCUCUCCACCGAUGAUAGGCUAGUACCGACUGAAAAACAGAGGAAAAAAUCCAUCCGACCCCGAGGCUUUGUCAUCCUCGAGAGAUCGGAGGGACCCCACACCUCCUCAGUAGACACUGGAUGAGUCAGGCCUCAUUCUCCUCAUUAGAGAUGCUGCACAUAGGUUGGGACCCUUGAAGGGGGG